rnacentral:rRNA from 1 species
CAGCCGCCGCGGUAAUACGUAGGGUGCGAGCGUUAAUCGGAAUUACUGGGCGUAAAGCGUGCGCAGGCGGUUUGUUAAGACAGAUGUGAAAUCCCCGGGCUUAACCUGGGAACUGCAUUUGUGACUGGCCGGCUAGAGUAUGGCAGAGGGAGGUGGAAUUCCACGUGUAGCAGUGAAAUGCGUAGAUAUGUGGAGGAACACCGAUGGCGAAGGCAGCCUCCUGGGCCGAUACUGACGCUCAUGCACGAAAGCGUGGGGAGCAAACAGGAUUAGAUACCCGCGUAGUCCCUGUCUCUUAUAA